UACGGAGGGGGCUAGCGUUGUUCGGAAUUACUGGGCGUAAAGCGCACGUAGGCGGCUUUGUAAGUUAGAGGUGAAAGCCUGGGGCUCAACUCCAGAACUGCCUUUAAGACUGCAUCGCUUGAAUCAUGGAGAGGCGGGUGGAAUUCCGAGUGUAGAGGUGAAAUUCGUAGAUAUUCGGAAGAACACCAGUGGCGAAGGCGACUUACUGGACACAUAUUGACGCUGAGGUGCGAAAGCGUGGGGAGCAAACAGG
rnacentral:rRNA from 1 species